AUUUUCAAUUUUCACUUGAUUCGAUCCUAAAAAAUUAUAUUUUUAAGUAAUUUCUAGUAAAAGUUUUAAAGAAUAACUUUUAGGAGUUGUGCAAAUACAAUUCAGAAAGUCCAGAUUAUUUGCAAGAAACGUAUAGUCAGUAUUAUUUAUAACUGAUAACCUUAAUACAAGAUGUUUUGAACUUAGGCCAUUAAUUUGUAUUAUUUUUAAUAAUUAGGCUCUAAAAUGAGCAAUAAAAAUUCUGUUGUAACAAAAUGUGAGUGGCAAGGAAGAGCAAUAUCUCCCAUUUGAAGACCUACGAUAUUUGAACAGGUGACUUAUUAACAUUGCACGAAGAAUAUGUUCACCGCCAAAUUGAAGACAUUCUUCCCAAAGAUCAAUGGAGAAAAUUGGAAGACGAUAAGCUGUACUUAACACCUCUGUUUGGAAAGAAAAAAAAGAACAGGAAGACUGCAUAAAAUGAAUGAGACAGAGUUACAUAUUUUGAUAUGAAGAGGUUCUAAAAACAGCUUGCAAUAUCCUUUAUUCUAUAUCUAAUCAGUUAAUGUGUGAAAAAUGGUACACAGAAGGAUCCACUGUUAUGACAGACACAUCUUAAAUGAUAUUUUAUAGUAGUACAAUUUUUUUGAUCGUUACAUUUGUGAAAAAAAUACUAUUUCAAAAAAUAUAUAAACUAUUGAUGCUUUCCAACAAGAAUAGUGGUUCCUUCAAGACUAUUACAUACUAAACCAGGCGAUAUUACUUACAUACUAAACCAGGCGAUAUUACUUGAAUUAUACAGGGCGAGUCAGUUUUGGGCUUGAAAUUUGUUUAAAAUGUAAAUUAUACAUAGUAUAAUAAAAGGUCAAGUGAUA